CAGGAAGCAGAGCCUGGGGCGUCUCCACCAUGGCCUGGGCUCCACUCCUCCUCACCCUCCUCGCUCACUGCACAGGGUCUUGGGCUGAGGUUGUGUUCACUCAGCCCCACUCUGUGUCGGGGUCUCCGGGGCAGACCGUCACCAUCUCCUGCACCCGCAGCAGUGGCAGCAUUGCCAGCAGAUAUGUGCACUGGUACCAGCAGCGCCCGGGCAGUGCCCCCACCACUGUGAUCUACGAUGAUGUCCCAAGACCCUCUGGGGUCCCUGAUUGGUUCUCUGGCUCCAUUGACAGCUCCUCCAACUCUGCCUCCCUCACCAUCUCUGGGCUGAAGUCUGAGGAUGAGGCUGAUUACUACUGUCAGUCUGCUGAUGACAGCUACAAUCCCACAGUACUCCAGACCCAUGGGGAAAACAGUCCUUCUGGCUUCGCCAUCUCCUCCCCGAGCGCCAUCAUCUAG